rnacentral:rRNA from 1 species
CCAGACUCCUACGGGAGGCAGCAGUGGGGAAUAUUGCACAAUGGGGGGAACCCUGAUGCAGCGACGCCGCGUGGGUGAAGGAGUACUUCGGUACGUAAAGCCCUAUCAGCAGGAAAGAAAAUGACGGUACCUGACUAAGAAGCCCCGGCUAACUACGUGCCAGCAGCCGCGGUAAUACGUAGGGGGCAAGCGUUAUCCGGAUUUACUGGGUGUAAAGGGCGUGUAGCCGGGCCGGCAAGUCAGAUGUGAAAUCCCAAGGCUCAACCUUGGAACUGCAUUUGAAACUGUUGGUCUUGAGUAUCGGAGAGGCAGGCGGAAUUCCUAGUGUAGCGGUGAAAUGCGUAGAUAUUAGGAGGAACACCAGUGGCGAAGGCGGUCUGCUGGACAGCAACUGACGCUGAGGCGCGAAAGCGUGGGGAGCAAACAGGAUUAGAUACCCUCGUACU